GGUCAAGCUACAAAGGGCGCAUGGUGAAUGCCUUGGCAUCAGGAGCCGAUGAAGGACGUGAUAAGCUGCGAUAAGCUUCGGGUAGGCGCACAUAGCCUGAGAUCCGAAGAUCUCCGAAUGAGGAAACUCACAUGGGAAACUCCAUGUAUCAUUAAGUGAAUACAUAGCUUAAUGAAGGUAACCCAGGGAACUGAAACAUCUAAGUACCUGGAGGAAGAGAAAGAAAAAUCGAUUUUCUUAGUAGCGGCGAGCGAAAGGGAAAGAGCCCAAACCGGAAACUUGUUUCCGGGGUUGAGGACAUAACAUAAAGAGAAGUAAUGGCUAAUUGAAGAGAACUGGAAAGUUCUACCGUAGAAGGUAAUAGUCCUGUAAAUGAAAGCUAGUAUAAUCGAGUUAUGAUCCAGAGUACCACGAGACACGUGAAACCUUGUGGGAAGC
rnacentral:rRNA from 1 species